GAUGAAGAACGUAGCGAAAUGCGAUACUUGGUGUGAAUUGCAGAAUCCCGUGAACCAUCGAGUCUUUGAACGCAAGUUGCGCCUCAAGCCAUUAGGUUGAGGGCACGUCUGCCUGGGCGUCACAUAUCGUUGCCUGAUGCCAGUUUCCUCGUGAUGGGUGACUGUGCAGUGCGAAUGAUGGCUUCCCGUGAGCAUUGUUGCCUCAUGGUUGGUUGAAAAUUGAGUCCUUGGUAGGGAGCGCCGUGAUAGAUGGUGGUUGAGUGACGAACGAGACCCAAUCAUGUGAGACCCCUACCGAAUUUGGCCUUCAUGACCCACAUGCGUCUUUGGAACGCUCAUGACGAGACCUCAGGUCAGGCGGGGCUACCCGCUGAGUUUAAGCAUAUCAAUAAGCGGAGGA
rnacentral:misc_RNA from 1 species